rnacentral:rRNA from 1 species
GAUGAACGCUAGCGGCAGGCCUAAUACAUGCAAGUCGAACGGUGUCUUCGGACAUAGUGGCGCACGGGUGCGUAACACGUAUGCAACCUACCUUACAUUGGGGGAUAGCCUUUCGAAAGGGAGAUUAAUACCGCAUAAGACAGUAGCUGGGCAUCCAGCAGCUGUUAAAGAUUUAUCGAUGUAAGCUGGGCAUGCGUCCAAUUAGCUAGUUGGUGAGGUAACGGCUCACCAAGGCAAUGAUUGGUAGGGGAACUGAGAGGUCAAUCCCCCACACUGGAACUGGGAUACGGGCCAGACUCCUACGGGAGGCGGCAGUAGGGAAUAUUGCGCAAUGGACGCAAGUCUGACCCAGCCAUGCCGCGUGCAGGAUGAAGGCGUUAUGCGUUGUAAACUGCUUUUAUACAGGAAGAAACGACUCUUGCGAGAGGCAUUGACGGUACUGUAUGAAUAAGCACCGGCUAACUCCGUGCCAGCCGCCGCUGUAAAAC